CUUGCUCUGGCUGGAUUAGUGGCGAACGGGUGAGUAACACGUGAGCAAUCUGCCCCUGACUCUGGGAGUAACGUCGAGAAAUCGAUGCUAAUACCGGAUACGACCCUUCCAGGCAUCUGGUGAGGGUGGAAAGAACGUUUAGGUCUAGGGAUGAGCUCGCGGCCUAUCAGCUAGUUGGUGAGGUAAUGGCUCACCAAGGCGACGACGGGUAGCCGGCCUGAGAGGGUGACCGGCCACACUGGGACUGAGACACGGCCCAGACUCC
rnacentral:rRNA from 1 species